CACAUCAUCGCCUUGUACACCAAGGACGAGUACUUCGCCAUGCUGGCGGAGAACGAGGCCGAGCAGGAGGCCUGGUACCAGGCGAUCAGCGAGCUCAUGAGCCAGAGCAAGAGGGGCUUCCUGGAGCAGGAGGACCACGCUGAUCAGCAGGUGGACGAGGACGAUGAGCACUACGGGGCCGCCCUGAGGCCUGGCACCGUCUUCAAGGAGGUGUGGCAGGGGAACGUUAAACCCAAAGGGUUGGGACAAACGAAAAAUCUUACCGGGGUGUAUAGGUUGUGCCUCUCCAGCAAGGCCAUCCACCUUGUCAAGCUCAACUCGGAGGUGCCCUCCGUCCACUUGCAGCUCAUGAAUAUUCGCCGCUGCGGACACUCGGAGAAUUUCUUCUUCAUUGAAGUGGGCAGGUCUGCCUCCAUUGGGCCUGGAGAACUCUGGAUGCAAGUGGACGAUUCGGUGGUUGCCCAGAAUAUGCACGAGACUUUUCUGGAGACCAUGAAAGCUCUAAAGGCCUUUGCAGAGUUCCGGCCCCGAAGCAAGAGCCAGUCUUCAGGUGGUGGUAGCGGUACUAAUCCCAUCUCCUUCAUCACCACUAGGAGGCACUUGGGCAACCUGCCCCCCAGCCAGACGGGCUUGCAGAGAAGAUGUAGAACUGAGAGCGUUGCCGGAGGGACUCCUCCUACCACCAAAAGCAGCAACUCCUAUCGCUUCAGAACAUCCAGCGAAGGAGAAGGAACCAUGACUAGACCUUUUAGGUCAGUGACUGGGAGUCUGAUCCACCUGAAUACUGCGAGGAUGAAUUUGGGCCGGCAAGAAGGGAGUGGAAGGUACGUGAGAGCCGCUUUCAGCUCAUCUUAUCACACCAGGUCUGCUUCGCUGCCCGUUUCUCAUUUUCCCUCCACUACAAGUCCCAUCAGCGUUUCUUCCAGUAGUGGCCAUGGCUCUGCUUCGGACAUGUUGACCAGGCCUUCUAGCUCAUCUGUUUGCGGUUCCCCAAGCGAUGGGGGAUUUAUCUCUUCUGAUGAAUAUGGCUCCAGCCCUGGAGACUUCAGGUACUUCCGUGUCAGGAGUAACACACCGGAUUCCCUGGGAAACACACCCCCUAUUAGAGAGGAGAACUGUCUGAGCGAGUACAUGUCCAUGAGUAAGCAACAGGCGGAUGAUAGCUCAAGAGAUGAUUAUAUGGAGGCUGAAAAGUGUUUCAGGAAAAGAACUUACUCUCUAACAAAACCGACUUCUGUCGCAGUGCAGCAGAAGACGACACAAACUACAGCUUUGUUAGAUGAGGAUUCUGCAGGAAAUCACGGACGAUUGCUUUACCCUGAAACACCAAAAUUGAAAGAUAACCACGAAUCGGAGUACAAUGACGCUAACCUUGAUUCCUUAUGUAACCAAAGUAGGAGUAAAGCCAGGGAUGAUGGGUACAUGCCAAUGAUGCCAGGAGUGGCAUCUUCUCUAUCCAGCAACAGCGAUUAUUUGCCAAUGACUCCUAAAAGUAUGUCUGUUCCAAAACAGAUUAACAACUCAUGGUCACCGUCUCAGGUUGACUCCAGAGGAUAUAUGAUGAUGUUUCCAAAGGCUAGCUCUUCGCCUGUACGAAGUCCUUUAACUGGAUUUAUUUCUAAAGGAAGUAAUGAGAAGAUCAUAAACAAUGAAUAUAUGGAUAUGUCACCUGGUAAUUCAGCUCCAAAGCACCCCGGUGAUUCGAAUUAUAUUCACACCGCUUCUGUUCCCAAAGGUUUCAGUUCGUAUUUUUCUUUGCCCCGAAGCUUUAAGGCGUUAUCAGGACAAAACGGUGACCACAGUGAAUAUGUUCCAAUGUCUUCACCUGGAAAACUCUUGUAUGGUGGACCAGAAAAUGUAAAAGGGGUCAACACUGAGGCUCUGGCUAAUGGCAUCUCUAAAUCGCCAGUGGUGAAAGGCUCAGAUGAAGGACUUGUGCAGAGCAGGGCUACUAGGCCUACGAGACUCCCCCUAGGCACAAGAGGGAGUAAUACUAUCCCCAGAAUGUACGAUCGUACGGUUCCACCUGAGCCAGCGAGUCCCGGUGAAUACAUAAAUAUUGAUUUUAAUGAAAAGGCGAGUAAUACACCGUAUUCCUUAUCUGCAGAAGGAUCGCCAUCGUCUCUAGGCUCCAGUAGUGACCACAGACAGUCCCCGCUCUCUGAUUAUAUGAGUGUUGACUUGGAUGUACAGUCACCGAAAGUAGCGAAGGAACUGUCCAACUCCCUAACAGAUAUUUCAAUUUAUGCAAGUUCCAGUAUUCCUAGAAACCAACCAAAUCCUGACUACGCUAGGCUUUCAUUUGGUACUGCUUGCGUUAGCACCGCAAGUAACAGGACUGAUGACUACACGGAGAUGACAUUCAACAUGGCAGCAACGCCACCUCGGCCAUUUGCCGCCGAAUCCGACGACGGUGUAAAGAUCGAUAGCCCUUCUUCCAUAGUUAAUAGGCUGUGCAUUGUUGAUCGAUAUGCUGGUAGCAGUAGCUUCUCUGUUCCGAGCUCUGAACCUCCUAUGGGACCGAAAGUGAUCCGAGCCGAUCCUCAAGGCAGGAGGAGGCACAGUUCUGAAACGUUCUCUUCUGCUGGGACUGUGACCACCUCCUCCUCUUUCUUUACCGAUAGUAGCAAAAGACACAGCUCUGCCUCAUUUGACAAUGUUUGGUUAAAACCAGAUGAAAACAUUUCUGACGGUCAGGAAAGCAAAAUGUCCAGGGAUACCUCAACUGGAUUUCAGAAUGGCUUAAACUACAUCGCUCUGAAUUUACGCGAUGAUCCUAUAAGCUGUGAGGCAAGUACAACAGCGCCAACUUGCCACCUCCAAAAUGGUACUUCAGGUUUGGACAGUGGAGCUUACGUGAGCAUAGAUUUCGGCAGAUCCGAUGGUCUGAAGUGUAACGCUGCGAGAAAAGGUUUGGCGUGCUCCUUUUGAGCUCUGGCCUCCAAAAUAUCCUUGUGUCCUCUGGAGAAGCCAUCUCCGGGGGGCUGACCAGGGCGGUGGGGGGCUCCUGCAGCCCAUGCCCUCCACCUUCACCACCUCGGAGCCUCCGAGGGCUUAGCUGAGCCGUAACCCUUCCCCUGCUGUACAGAGGGAUCUGCCUUUGCAUAGCAGGUGAGGAAUGCCUGGGACGGAGGAAGAGGAGGCUGAGCGGUGUCUUCCAGGUCUGAACCUUGGGAGAGAAGGCUGCUAGCUUUCAGGUGGUCUGACCAAGCUUAAGACAACUCUUGGCUGAUGAAUCUUGCAUGACGAAGACAGGAGUAAGAUUAUCCAGCUUCACAGAAGCAGUGUUGCUUGCUUUGAGCACUUCAUGUCCUCCAUUAGUUUACCUUCACCUGGUCAAAAGGUGGAAAAAGAUGAGGUGUGGGAGAGAGGAGCCACCGAGGAGCUUAAUCUUUGAGUACUGACUGUAUUGCCAUGGGAACCAUUGUUGGAAGAGAAGACUUUUCUGCUGGUAACUCCAGAAACUGUGUGGUGCUUUUGGAAGCAAAGCUCAGCUCCAGCCGGCUACUUUCAUUUCCACCAGCACGGACAUAGACACACAUCCUUUUAAUUAAUUUUUUUUCAUAGACAUCAGCUCCCUACAGUUGAAUUAAUUUGAAUUGAGAUUUUUUUUCAUAGCUGUGCUUUGGUGAUGGAAUUUGGUCUUUCAUGUCAUACCUAUUUGGGAGGCAGUGUGAAUGCUGAUAGGAGAUCCCUCUAUGCCCCUUUCUUCCUCCUGCCUCUCCCAUUACUUUUUUUUAAUUUAUAUUCUGAGAAGUCAAAGCUGGUUUCUGAUUGUCUGCUUAACAUGGGUUUUGCUUCUCUGGUACAUUAACAAGUGGUUAGCUUAAAACAUGUAUUGUUUAGAAAUAUUUUGGCAGUUCAGGAUUUUUUCAGGUGGUUGGGCGGAAGGAGGGAGGGAGAGGUGCACCUUAGCUCGAGGGGCGAACCCGUGGGACUGAACUGGUCUGAGAAGGAGAGACCUCUUCUGCCUUUUCUUUUUGUUUUUUAAGGUUUUGCUUUUAUGGUACAAGAGGUAUUUCUUGAUCAUAGGCUAGAAUAUUUUAAAUCAAAUGUCUGUCAGAGCUUAAACUGAAUUAUUUUUUUUUUUGCUCAGAAUUUUGGUAUGUACAAAGUAGGAUUAAUGGGCUGGUUGUCUUGUAGAUUGUUUUUGUUCUUACCCUCAAGAUACUUGUUUAUAAAUACGAAUUGUGUAAAAUGAGGUUUUUGUUCAUGCAUUCAAAUGGAGAACUGCAGAGUCGUACCCAGCGUUUGUGACUUCUGCAUUAUAUUUGUCAGCUGUAGCUUUUUAAAGGGAAACCACCCUAAUUGAUCUUACUUUCAACCAAAGCCCCAUUUUUUAAUUUGGGACUAUUUUUGUUCUUUCUUCCUGGCAUAAUGGGGAAAGAAGUAAAAUGUUGGCUCAUCGAUUGUCUUUAUCCCACUUACAGAAAUGCGAACAAUAACUAUUUGACGUUUUUAAAAGAAGCCCUGAUUUUUUUUUUUUCUGCAAUUUAAGUGCUUCACUCUUGUACUGAACUUUUUUUUUUUGGUUGAAAUGAAUUUAGGUUUUUAACACUGCUAUGAACUUAAAGAGCAUGACACUCGUCGUUGGUACAUGCAAUGUAUAAUAAAAGGCACUGACGAUUAAUAAAGGGUUUAGAAGUGGUACACAAAUCCUCAUGCUGUACUGCACCACACAGCUGGUAAUCCUCUACAUUGUAUAUUGUACAACUGAUUUGUCAGGCUGCCUCACCUCUAACAUACAACCUUUAAAUUGCUAGUACAGUUUGCAUAACAAAUUAGACACUGUCAACUUCGAUUGUUCGGUGAUGUGUACCCAAAUCUAUUUUUGAGUAGUAUUAAAAUGUACAUGUCACUAAAAUAUGAAGACUUUUUUUUUUUUUGGACACAUGGUACCGAUCCAUUUACGCAGUGUCUAGUGACAGGAAAAACUGUUGCUACAGGGUUUAAAAGCACAGAUCUGUUUUUGAUUCUGGAAGAGAAGUUUAAGUUGGUACAGUUACUUGUUGCUGCUAAACAUACACUAAUGAAAAAUACGACCACUCUUACAGACCAUGAUACUGUCUUGCCAUAUAGCUUUUGUUUGGUCUCCUAAAUUAAUAAUGCAAUACAUAGACAGCUUUUUAUAAAGCUUUACAUCUUUUCUAAAAAAUGAAAAAAUUUGGAUGAAGAUAGUUCUAAACAUUUAAUGUGAACGGAAAAGGUUGUUUUGAAGAAAUUUGUUACACACAUAUUUCAUAUUAGAUCCCUGAGGCUGCCAUUGUACAAUAUACAGCACUGAUUUAAUAAAUGCUGAAUAAGUAAGUAAAUGGGUAACCUCAAGUAUAGUGGUACAAAUACUAAUAGGUACGGCAUAAUAAAUAUGCAAUCUUUUUGAAUCUCUUAGUUUACAGCAACUAAUUUAUUCAGUAUUGUGCUGGAAGAACAUUUUCAGAUGAUGUAAAACAUAUCACUAUAUAUACUACCUUCCAGCUACCCGUUUAUGCUGCUGUAUAGUACAAAAAUACCAAUGAUAGAACAAUGUUUGUCCUGUAAAUUUAAUUUGAUAUUGGACAGUUAUUGUCUGUACAAACUAAAACAUAUAUGGUUGAAACUGUUCAUUAUAUUUGCUAUUUCUGCUUCACAGAUCUGUUUUAAAGUUGAGCUGAUUGAUCUGGCUUUGUCUUCCAUUGUAAAUAUUGUUAUGUUGUUUUCUUUGUAAAACACAUCGCGUUUGCGGUUUUGGGAGACUGGCUUGAAGCUCUGUAUAGUGUUUAUAUUUAUCUGACUUGGCUUUCCAUAGAGCUACUUGCAGUAAAUACGUGUUCAUGUA